rnacentral:rRNA from 1 species
AACGAACGCUGGCGGCGUGCUUAACCCAUGCAAGUCGAACGGAAAGGCCCUGCUUUUGUGGGGUGCUCGAGUGGCGAACGGGUGAGUAACACGUGCGUAACCUGCCCUUGACUUUGGGAUAACUUCAGGAAACUGGGGCUCAUACCGGCUAGGAGCUCCUGCUGCAUGGUGGGGGUUGGAAAGUUUCGGCGGUUGGGGAUGGACUCGCGGCUUAUCAGCUUGUUGGUGGGGUAGUGGCUUACCAAGGCUUUGACGGGUAGCCGGCCUGAGAGGGUGACCGGCCACAUUGGGACUGAGAUACGGCCCAGACUCCUACGGGAGGCAGCAGUGGGGAAUAUUGCACAAUGGGCGGAAGCCUGAUGCAGCAACGCCGCGUGCGGGAUGACGGCCGUCGGGUUGUAAACCGCUUUCGCCUGUGACGAAGCGUGAGUGACGGUAAUGGGUAAAGAAGCACCGGCUAACUACGUG